GACGAACGCUGGCGGCGUGCUUAACACAUGCAAGUCGAACGGAAAGGCCCCUUUGGGGGUACUCGAGUGGCGAACGGGUGAGUAACACGUGAGUAACCUGCCCUUGACUUCGGGAUAACUUCAGGAAACUGGGGCUAAUACCGGAUAGGAAUCCUUGCUGCAUGGUGGGGGUUGGAAAGCUUCGGCGGUUUUGGAUGGACUCGCGGCUUAUCAGCUUGUUGGUGGGGUAGUGGCUUACCAAGGCUUUGACGGGUAGCCGGCCUGAGAGGGCGACCGGCCAAAUUGGGACUGGGAUACGGCCCAGACUCCUACGGGAGGCAGCAGUGGGGAAUAUUGCACAAUGGGCGGAAGCCUGAUGCAGCAACGCCGCGUGCGGGAUGACGGCCUUCGGGUUGUAAACCGCUUUCAGCAGGGGCGAAGCUUGUGGUGACGGUACCUGCAGAAGAAGCACCGGCUAACUACGUG
rnacentral:rRNA from 1 species